CCACAUCAACUCCAAUCGGUUUUGCGGCAGUGUCCCGAAGAGUUUCAGCAAACUGAAGCUGCUUUUUGAGCUUGAUCUGAGCAACAACCGCUUUGCUGGGAAGUUCCCUCUUGUUGUUCUUCGACUGCCAAAGCUAAAAUUCCUGGACCUGCGAUUCAAUGAGUUUGAAGGUAAGGUCCCCAAGGAACUGUUUGAUAAAGAUCUAGAUGCAAUCUUCAUCAACCACAACAUGUUCUCCUUCGAAUUGCCAGAUAAUUUGGGGAACUCGCCAGUCUCAGUUAUUGUUCUUGCAAACAACAACUUCCAUGGGUGUGUGCCAGCCAGCCUUGGUAACAUGUCCAAGAAUUUGAACGAAGUGGUGCUCACAAACAACGGCUUCCACUCGUGCUUGCCAAAGGAAAUAGGGAUGCUGAAGGAUGUAACUGUGUUUGAUGUGAGCUAUAAUCGGAUUGUCGGUGAGUUGCCAGAGGCAGUGGGUGAAAUGGUGAGCUUGGAGAAGCUCAAUGUGGCUCAUAACAUGCUAAGAGGGAACAUACCUGAGAGCGUUUGUGAGCUUCAGAACCUGAGGAACUUUAGCUUUGAGCACAACUUCUUCACUAGUGAGCCACCAAUGUGUUUGAAAUUGGAGAAGUUUGAUGACAGCAAGAAUUGCUUGCGGCGUAGGCCAAAGCAGAGAACCAUGUUGC
rnacentral:lncRNA from 1 species